GGUAGAGGGAUGUACUGGAGGGGGGGUCAGUACACAGUUUUGAGACGAGAAACCAUUAGUCGUUCUUUUACUUCCGAGACGCUGGCCGAUAAGGUUACUCUAGUCAUUAUUGCUGGGUACUUUCAUUCCUGAAAUUGUUCUUCAUAAAAAAAAAGGUUGGUGGAGAUUGUUCUCAAUGUGGAAUGCCAAACCAACAAGAUGAGGUGAGAUGCCAAAGCCUUUAUAAUGAGGCCUCUACCAUGUUGUGAGAUGAAAAUGUGCACACUAGGCAAGCUGAAAUGGUUUCAUUGGUUAGAGAAAGUUUGAGCUGUUCAUGGUUGUGAUGUCUGGUGUGGCAGUCAUUUUCAGAUUGAGAGGUGCACUGAAAUGGAUCUUCUACAGACUUGCAGCUCAACAUCAUACAAUUUACCAUGUUAGUGUCCAUGCAGAGUUGAGCUGUUGUGCAAAAAAAUAGGCUUUGCCUGAUGGCUUUCUGGCAAUUUGUUGGUGUCUUCUUCUGCUACCUGUAUCCAUGUUGAGUUCUAUCGUACGGCGCCGUUCCGGACUGGAUCCGUUGGUGAAGCUAACAGGUUGCUGAACUUAAGAGAUUGAUAAAUUAUUAAGACUUAGAGAUUUUGCAAAUUCAUAUCUGUUCUCCCUUCCCCAAGUAAACAAAAUUAUCUCUUGGGUAGUUGUGUGAAUGGGGAAUUGCAAUGAGAUUUUACAUUUGCUGUGAGAAAGCUCAGUUAAAACCAUAAAAAUGUUGUACUUACAUCUACCAUAACAAACCUGAAAUAAU